GCGGAAGGAUCAUUAUCGAUGCAAUGCUGCCUCGUGGCCGCAACGCU
rnacentral:rRNA from 1 species